rnacentral:lncRNA from 1 species
GACCAAAUAACUCAAAAUGUUAUACCGCUUCUAAAUAUUUGGAAAAUAUAAACUAGAAUCAAAGUUAUCGGUCAGCGAAAAUCGAAAAAUUGCGUCACGUUGUCGAAUCGCGUCCGGACCUUUAAUAUAUGCAGUCUCAUGUAUCCUAUGACUAUGUGAAUUUUGAACGGGAUGCAACUCAUUUUCAACUAGGCGAAUUUGUUCGCGCGAAGCGAAAAAUAAAUCUUGGCAAUGUGAAUGGUCAGCGGAAAAAUUAGCCGCGAAAAAGUUGGAUCAGUUCCUACUUUACUGUUCGCGCGAACAAAUUCGCCUAGUGGAAAAUGGGCUUUAGUUUCGCGACAUUGGCUGUACUUCCCCAUACCACCAUAUCCCUUUAAAAGGAUAGGUGUUUACCUCCCACAAAACAAGGACAGCCAAGCAUUAGGGAACAACCAUUCAAGGUGACCUUUAUACAAUUAGAUAAUCAUCUAAAUAUAAUAAUUUCUAUACCACAGACUCGUUACAUAGUUCCUACGACAUCCCCACCCCACCCAUCCACCCCCAAACAAGACAAUAGCUUAAGAUGCACCAAAUCUGCGACUCGGACGCGACUAAAAACAGUCGCUAGUAAUGGGAGACUAGUUUUACUUCACAGUCGCUAAUAAUGGGACCAGUUUUACUUUGUUUUUCUCGUGUUCCUGGCUUUGUUUACCAACAACAAUCCAUAGUUUUUACCCGUGAAGUGAAACUGUGAUAAUAAAUAGCGGCAGUUUUCCGUCACGUCCGCGUCGAAGAUUUGGUGUAUAUGUUAAGCUACGUUUACACGCUGCGAUUUGUCGGGCCGAUUUUGGUAAAUAAUCGUUGCUCCCGACAUUUAGCGAUUUAAACGUUCAAUUGAAGCUGUCCGCUCUCUCGUCUGUUUAUAUUAUAUUUUCUGCGUGCGAAAAGUUUUCGACAAUUUUACAACGGAAGAAAAAUCGUUGAAUCGUGAGAAAAAUCUGUGUUUUGUUACAGAUUUUUCUCACGAUUUUGUGAAUCGCAAGGCGCUGACGCGAGUACUCACGACAGGUUUUUUACAUACAGCGAGCAAAAUCGGCCCGACAAAUCGCACCAUGUAAACGUACCUUUAAGCUCCCUAAUACAAGUUAGGGGACAAUCAUUGAAAGACUUAAAUGAUCUAGAAUUUUUAGCUGAAUGUCAGUUCUAUAUAACAUUUUUUAACACACCGCUCUACCCACAAAACAGACAAGACAAUGCCCAUAAUAUACUUAAAAGUCAGCAGGCUGUCCAUUCCAAGCGAGGGAAUGUCCAUCAAUUAAGGUGACCUAAGCUCCUUAAUUAUUUGUCAACAUUAAGCCAAAACUAUACAGGAAUUUUUUUUGAAAUUCCCACCAUAUUGUCGGAUACUGUUAAAAGUUUUACAAGAGGCCGACAUUUUUGUUACGGCAUCGACAACUCUUCCUUUGGCAACAUCUACAAUCUUUGGCAAACUAUAGCAUCAACCUCCUUUACAUAUAUAGGUCUGCCAAUAUAUAGCAUUCUGCAACAUUCCCCUACAACUCUCCCUAUAGUCUCUCAUAACAACCUGGAAAUCGACUCUCUAUAAAGACUGCAUAUAUAGCUACGGUAGAUCCCCAUUUUACGAACAGUUUAGAGCUAAUAUCAUGCAGUAUAAAUAAAGUUACAGGUUAGGACCGCAAGGUUUUCUCUGGAGCAAUAUGCCAAUAUGGCAUGGCUCUUACUGGAGCUCUAGCCAUAGGAAGAACAGUUUAGAACUAAUAGGCCUUCCCAUAAAUAUAGUUAGCUUAUAAAUACUUCAAAUUUCAUCCUGUUAUAACACUGCAGGGACAAUAAGGUAUAUGAUGCUUACUGGACCUCUAUCCAGUACGAGACCAUUACGAGGCGAUCCAAACAUGUAGGACCUCUAGGCUCUAGGAAGAUGUUAUAUAAAUAAAGUUAGUUCAGUUGAGGUAUAUUGAUACUGGGACAACAAUUCCGAUGAUCAUAU